rnacentral:rRNA from 2 species
GAUGAACGCUAGCGACAGGCUUAACACAUGCAAGUCGAGGGCAGCAAUUUGUAGCAAUACAAAGUUGGCGACCGGCGCACGGGUGAGUAACGCGUAUGCAACCUACCCACAACAGAAGAAUAAUCCGGCGAAAGUCGGUCUAAUACUUCAUAAAACAGGGACACCGCAUGGUGUUAUUUGUUAAAGAUUUAUCGGUUGUGGAUGGGCAUGCGUGCCAUUAGGUAGUUGGUGAGGUAACGGCUCACCAAGCCUACGAUGGUUAGGGGUUCUGAGAGGAAAGUCCCCCACACUGGUACUGAGACACGGACCAGACUCCUACGGGAGGCAGCAGUGAGGAAUAUUGGUCAAUGGGCGAGAGCCUGAACCAGCCAAGUCGCGUGAAGGAUGACGGCCCUAUGGGUUGUAAACUUCUUUUGCAGGGGAAUAAAGAUAUUCACGUGUGGGUAGUUGUAUGUACCCUGCGAAUAAGCAUCGGCUA